rnacentral:rRNA from 1 species
UGCAAGUCGAGCGGACUGAUGGGAGCUUGCUCCCUGAUGUUAGCGGCGGACGGGUGAGUAACACGUGGGCAACCUGCCUGUAAGACUGGGAUAACUCCGGGAAACCGGGGCUAAUACCGGAUAACCCGUUCCACCUCAUGGUGGAGCGGUAAAAGAUGGCCUCUGGCUAUCACUUACAGAUGGGCCCGCGGCGCAUUAGCUAGUUGGUAAGGUAACGGCUUACCAAGGCGACGAUGCGUAGCCGACCUGAGAGGGUGAUCGGCCACACUGGGACUGAGACACGGCCCAGACUCCUACGGGAGGCAGCAGUAGGGAAUCUUCCGCAAUGGACGAAAGUCUGACGGAGCAACGCCGCGUGAGUGAUGAAGGUUUUCGGAUCGUAAAGCUCUGUUGUUAGGGAAGAACAAGUGCCGUUUGAAUAAGGCGGCACCUUGACGGUACCUAACCAGAAAGCCACGGCUAACUACGUGCCAGCAGCCGCGGUAAUACGUAGGUGGCAAGCGUUGUCCGGAAUUAUUGGGCGUAAAGCGCGCGCAGGCGGUCUCUUAAGUCUGAUGUGAAAGCCCACGGCUCAACCGUGGAGGGUCAUUGGAAAC